GGGCAUAAUUUAUCCUUUUGGGUGCCUCACUUUCUAUCUUGGAAUGAUACAGAGUAGCAUGGCCCCUGUACAAGGAUGACACACAAAUUUGUGAAUAUUUUUAAUUAGAU
rnacentral:snRNA from 1 species